rnacentral:rRNA from 1 species
CACGUAGGGCGCAAGCGUUGUCCGGAAUUAUUGGGCGUAAAGAGCUCGUAGGCGGACUGUCACGUCCGCUGUGAAAAGCUAGGGCUUAACCCUGGCCUUGCAGUGGAUACGGGCAGACUAGAGGUAGGUAGGGGAGAAUGGAAUUCCCGGUGUAGCGGUGAAAUGCGCAGAUAUCAGGAGGAACACCGGUGGCGAAGGCGGGUCUCUGGGCCGAUAUUGACGCUGAGGAGCGAAAGCAUGGGGAGCGAACAGG